UUGUAGGAGGUGCUGUAAUCAGAGGAGUUUGCUGAUGAAAUUCUAGGUGGCAAGGAGCUUCAGUAAGUCCAAGAGAAAAAUCUGACUGGCACACAGAAUCAAAGGACUGUGUUAAUUCCAAGAGCACGUCCCAAUAAAUGCCCACAUGCCAAUCUCUGAUUCCAUCUGCUUUCCACAGAAUCCAACCUGCACCUGCAGACAGAGAGGAUUUGGACAGGGGUUAUAGCUACUCUUACAGAAGACAUAAGAAGAUAUAUACGCAGAGAAGACAUCAUAAGACCUGAAGAUGAAAAACUUCUGAUCACAGAAGAAAGAUAUACAACAGCCUUGAAGCAUUCUGAGAACCCAGUGAAGGCAAUAAUGUCUCUUCCCAGAGAAAUUCACAGAUCUGGGCUACAUUUUGCCAAGGAGAGGAACAUCUGUGGAGUCUGGAAAGUGGAAGUAAAUCGGAAGCUUUAUUCUCUGGAGGUGGUGGCUGCCAGAUGAACAUGCACAUGAGCAAGACACAGAAGACAUGGAGAUCCAUGUAGAAUCAUAAGAAGGUAAAGAAGAAGGAAAAAAUGUAGCCCCUAGAAGCUUGGAACUGCCCUCAGACUACAGCCAGGAAGCAGACAGGGACUUCAGUUCCACAGCCACAAGGAGCUGAAUUCUGCCAACCAGAAUGAGCAAGAACAUGGAUUCUCCCCUCAAGCCUCCAGAAAAGAAUGCAGCCUACAGUCAGCACUUUAAGUCCCAUGCAACCUAUAAUAGAUUUCUGACCUACAGAGCUUUAAUGUCAUAAAUUGGUGUUGUUUUAAGUCAUGAAGUUUGUGGUAGCUUCUUAUGACAGUAAUUGAAAACUAAUACCUGGUCUUUUUAGCAGAAUAACGAGCACCCUGUAAUGUGUCAUUCAUGCAUAUCUUUUUUUUUUUUUUUUUUUUGGUGGGGGCAGGAAGACAAAACUCUAGAGUUUAAUCUUCCAGCUGACUGACUUGGAAGUGUUCCUGUCAAUAUAAAAGAUCUUGUUGGGGG
rnacentral:lncRNA from 10 species